rnacentral:tRNA from 1 species
GUGAUUGUAGUUUAAUAAAAACAUUAGAUUGUGGUUCUAAAAAUAAAAGCUAGCUCCUUUUCAGCCACC